rnacentral:rRNA from 1 species
GCUGCGCGGCGUGCCUAUACAUGCAUCUCGAGCGGACAGAUGGGAGCUUGCUCCCUGAUGUUAGCGGCGGACGGGUGAGUAACACGUGGGUAACCUGCCUGUAAGACUGGGAUAACUCCGGGAAACCGGGGCUAAUACCGGAUGGUUGUUUGAACCGCAUGGUUCAGACAUAAAAGGUGGCUUCGGCUACCACUUACAGAUGGACCCGCGGCGCAUUAGCUAGUUGGUGAGGUAACGGCUCACCAAGGCAACGAUGCGUAGCCGACCUGAGAGGGUGAUCGGCCACACUGGGACUGAGACACGGCCCAGACUCCUACGGGAGGCAGCAGUAGGGAAUCUUCCGCAAUGGACGAAAGUCUGACGGAGCAACGCCGCGUGAGUGAUGAAGGUUUUCGGAUCGUAAAGCUCUGUUGUUAGGGAAGAACAAGUGCCGUUCAAAUAGGGCGGCACCUUGACGGUACCUAACCAGAAAGCCACGGCUAACUACGUGCCAGCAGCCGCGGUAAUACGUAGGUGGCAAGCGUUGUCCGGAAUUAUUGGGCGUAAAGGGCUCGCAGGCGGUUUCUUAAGUCUGAUGUGAAAGCCCCCGGCUCAACCGGGGAGGGUCAUUGGAAACUGGGGAACUUGAGUGCAGAAGAGGAGAGUGGAAUUCCACGUGUAGCGGUGAAAUGCGUAGAGAUGUGGAGGAACACCAGUGGCGAAAGCGACUCUCUGGUCUGUAACUGACGCUGAGGAGCGAAAGCGUGGGGAGCGACAGGA